rnacentral:rRNA from 1 species
AUUGAACGCUGGCGGCAGGCCUAACACAUGCAAGUCGAGCGGAUGAAGGGAGCUUGCUCCUGGAUUCAGCGGCGGACGGGUGAGUAAUGCCUAGGAAUCUGCCUGGUAGUGGGGGAUAACGUCCGGAAACGGGCGCUAAUACCGCAUACGUCCUGAGGGAGAAAGUGGGGGAUCUUCGGACCUCACGCUACCAGAUGAGACUAGGUCGGAUUAGCUAGUUGGUGGGGUAAAGGCCUACCAAGGCGACGAUCCGUAACUGGUCUGAGAGGAUGAUCAGUCACACUGGAACUGAGACACGGUCCAGACUCCUACGGGAGGCAGCAGUAGGGAAUAUUGGGCAAUGGGCGAAAGCCUGAUCCAGCCAUGCCGCGUGUGUGAAGAAGGUCUUCGGAUUGUAAAGCACUUUAAGUUGGGAGGAAGGGCAGUAAGUUAAUACCUUGCUGUUUUGACGUUACCAACAGAAUAAGCACCGGCUAACUUCGUG